CUGCUCACUUGAGCAGCAUAUAUACUAAGAUGAAAAUGAUACAGGGAAGAUUAGCAUGCCCCCUGCCAAAGAAAUUGAGGAUAGAGUCUGAGAUUCUGUAUUUUUAA
ensembl:snRNA U6 U6 spliceosomal RNA